CGCAAGGGGAGCGGCAGACGGGUGAGUAACGCGUGGGAAUCUACCCAUCUCUACGGAACAACUCCGGGAAACUGGAGCUAAUACCGUAUACGUCCUUCGGGAGAAAGAUUUAUCGCUGAUGGAGCGGCCCGCGUCUGAUUAGCUAGUUGGUGAGGUAACGGCUCACCAAGGCGACGAUCAGUAGCUGGUCUGAGAGGAUGAUCAGCCUCACUGGGACUGAGACACGGCCCAGACUCCUACGGGAGGCAGCAGUGGGGAAUAUUGGACAAUGGGCGCAAGCCUGAUCCAGCCAUGCCGCGUAGAUGAUGAAGGCCCUAGGG
rnacentral:rRNA from 1 species